rnacentral:lncRNA from 1 species
UGAAAAUGCAAGAGCAAUAGCUAUGGGCACCAAAUGGUCAAUCUUCUUAUCAUAAUGUUGAGUGGAAGAAGCCAGGUCCACCAGACACAUGCUGCUCAUUUAUGCAAAGUUUGGACACAGGCAAAACAAAACUAGUUUGAUCGUGAUGGGAAACAUUAGAGAAAUGCAAAGACAUGACCAUCAUAAUUGUCAGGAGAAGGCAUUGGUUAGGAUUGGGAAGCGGCAAGCAGAAGCAUUUAGGGAUUGGCUGGCAAUGUUUUACUUCUCAGCUGAGUGAGGGUUGCAUCGGUGUUUAUUUGAUAACACGUUCUAGGGGCUGGGCAAGAUGGCUCAUGUUUGUAGUCUCAGUACUUUGGGAGGCCAAAGAUGGGAGGAUUGCUUGAGCCCGUGAGUUUGAGACCAGCGUGGGUGACAUAGCGAGACCC